UGGGGGAAUUUUUGGGACAAUGGGGGGAAACCCUGAUCCAGCCAUCCCGCGUGUGCGAUGAAGGCCUUCGGGUUGUAAAGCACUUUUGGCAGGAAAGAAACGUCGCGGGUUAAUACCCCGCGAAACUGACGGUACCUGCAGAAUAAGCACCGGCUAACUACGUGCCAGCAGCCGCGGUAAUACGUAGGGUGCAAGCGUUAAUCGGAAUUACUGGGCGUAAAGCGUGCGCAGGCGGUUCGGAAAGAAAGAUGUGAAAUCCCAGAGCUUAACUUUGGAACUGCAUUUUUAACUACCGGGCUAGAGUGUGUCAGAGGGAGGUGGAAUUCCGCGUGUAGCAGUGAAAUGCGUAGAUAUGCGGAGGAACACCGAUGGCGAAGGCAGCCUCCUGGGAUAACACUGACGCUCAUGCACGAAAGCGUGGGGAGCAAACAGGAUUAGAUACCCUGGUAGUCCACGCCCUAAACGAUGUCAACUAGCUGUUGGGGGCCUUCGGGCCUUGGUAGCGCAGCUAACGCGUGAAGUUGACCGCCUGGGGAGUACGGUCGCAAGAUUAAAACUUAAAGGAAUUGACGGGGGU
rnacentral:rRNA from 1 species